UCCCUGAUGGUCCAAUGGUUAGGACUCCCAGCUCUCAUGGCCGAGGGCCCAGGUUCGAUCCCUGGUCAGGGAA